GUUCGAACAAGGAGUUUUGUCUAGGUUCACUGAUUUGAUCCAAGGGUUUGAUCAGUUGGAAGGUGGAUCCUGUGGAGUGUGGACGUGCCCUGCCCUGUCCACUUCCUCGCCCUUCCCAUCCCUCAGAGAAGCUUGUCAUUGUACUACCUGAGGCUGCCCAGCUACACUCAACGACCCCCAACACAUCAACACAGGACCUCAACGCACCAGACUUUCACACAAGGUUGCUCAGAAGUCCUCUUCAGGUGAAGCAUAAUGAAAGAAGUGAUCAUGGGUUUGUCCUCCACACUCACACUGGAAGGCUGACAUGCAUGAUGGCUAUCAUCCGAGAGUCUCCGGAGUCCGGGUGCUUGCCGAUCCCAUCAGCAGUGUUGAAGGCCAAGAAGAUAUCCAAUGACAGUGACGUUGAUAGCAGCUGCAGCAGCCAUCAAUCCAACAUCUGUAACGAAGAGAAAUGGAAGGAUACUUCGUUGACACUACAGCUAGGAAGGCACCGCCUGUUGAACUGCCAUCAUCAGAAGACACACACUCAAGACUGGGCGGAGGCAAAUCUGCCUACACAGGGCAGCUCUGUGAACAUACAGCAUCUACCUGUUGUCCGAAGUACAUGGACCAGGAGAACUGUCAGGUGGUGGUACUGCUGCACCUCUUCACUGUCAACGGACUCGUCACAAAUGUUCAUUACUUCCAGAAGAUGGACCAUCCCACGGCGGUGACGGUACACUUUGGUGCAUGCGAGAGGGAAUAAACAAACUGUGCAGUAAAGGUGUGAAUACCACAG